rnacentral:lncRNA from 1 species
UCAGUGUCCUGUUGCUGCUGCCACAACAGAUCCUAUUACAGCUUUUCCUCUGGUCUUGCUUCUCUGGAUCCCGUAGGAGGGCAGAAGGUACCAAGGAAGAUUCAAGGACCAGUCCUGGGAGUCUCUCCUUCCUAGCAGCCUCACCUGCCUAGGACCUGGGAGUCCUCUUUCCUAAGCCUGUGAUCCUAGUUCUUUGAAUGAGGAAAAGAUCGUAACCUAGGGACUUUCUUCUGCAGGAAGAAAACGGCUCAAAGAUGAGGGUGAUUCGAGUGGGCACCCGUAAGAGCCAGGUGAGUACAGACAUAGCGCGUUGUCUCAAGAAUUGUAAUGCUCACAGGGUCACUAGUGGGACCCAGAGACUCACAGGGUCACUAGUGGGACCCAAAGGCUAGCAUUGAGCAAAUAAGAGUGUGUGAGAGUCGAUUUCAUGGGGUACAGAAAAGAGAGUCUCUGGAGCAGGGAAAUGAUUGGGGUACAGAGAAGGGACUCUCAGGGCAGGCCUCAUGUGAGAAGUCUAACCCCUUUCAUUGCUUUCUUGGUCCAUAUGAGGGUCUGAGCCUGGGCCAGUGGCCAGGGGAGGUGAGAAACCAUCUGACUCUCUUUCCCCAGCUGGCUCGCAUACAGACCGACACUGUGGUGGCGAUGCUGAAAGCCUUGUACCCUGGCAUACAGUUUGAAAUCAGUAAGUUUUCUUGAGAGGAGUGAUUGGUAGUGAACGGGAAGCCAGUGAACCGGAGGACAGGGCAUCUCUGGCUUUGCCUGUGGUCAAAGCCUGCCUUGUAAGACUAUUCUGGCUGCUUGUGAAGGGAAAGAAAGAUUGUCUCCUGUGCACAUCUCCUCCAGCUGCCCGGGCUAGCCUGACAUUUCAUACUUUCUGCUUUGGGUUCUUUUAUGAGUAUGUCUGCUUUUUCUGUCGGUGUGUGUAUCUGAGAGAGUAGGGGCUGGGUCUUCUAUGCCUCAGACUCCACUGUGAAUCCAGUCAAGGCCUGAACGAGGGGUGACUCAGUAGGUGUUAAUGGGUAUCUGAUUGACUCUCUCCUCAGUUGCUAUGUCCACCACGGGAGACAAGAUUCUUGAUACUGCACUCUCUAAGGUAACGCCAGUCCUUGUCCCCAUUCUUCUUGUCCCUCUCCCACGUGUAAGGGGUUCACUCUGAGGCUCUCUCUUGCCUGGCAGAUUGGAGAGAAGAGCCUGUUUACCAAGGAGCUAGAAAACGCCCUGGAAAAAAACGAGUGAGUGAGGAUGGAGGAAUGUGGUACCCCGAGCCUAGAACCCCAAAGUGGCUCCCCAAUAUUGGCAGGACUGUCGGGUUAGACUGUGGAGCUCACAGGCUUUCACAGAGGAGAGAGCCUUGCCUUGGAGUAGCCUAACUACCUGGGGAAUCAGACUGUCUGGGGAAAUGGGGUAGAGUAGUUGAGAAGAGACCAGGUCUUAGAUCUUAAGAUGCUAUCUUCCUGAACGGUCAAGGAUGCUGGGGUGGGUGGUGGAGGUAAGGUCACCUACUCAAAGCCUCUCUCUGUGUCCUCCCCAUGUCGUCUCCAGAGUGGACCUGGUCGUUCACUCCCUGAAGGAUGUGCCUACCAUACUACCUCCUGGCUUUACUAUUGGAGCCAUCUGCAAGUAAGCGGGGAGGACAUGCAUGGGAGGGAGGGCCCUGGGCAGGAUUAAUCCUACUGUGGGAAUCUUUGAGUUUUUUUUUUUGUUUUGUUUUGUUUUGUUUUUUUUUCCAUUUGGAACUUGACCGCUUAGCCCUCUGUUUUGAAGGUUGUCAGACAUAGUGUGGCAGGAAAGCCAAUUGGUUGACUAUUUAGAGUUUGUGGAGUUGGGCUCAGUGGCACGGACCUGAAAUCCCAGCUACUGGGGAGGCUAAGACAGGAUCAGAGAUUCUGGGCCAGCCUGGGCUACAGAGGGAUUUGAACCAGCCCGAGGAACUUAGAUUGUGCCUUAGGGGCACCAGAAGGCUGGCUUACAGUGGCUUAGGUGGUAAAGGCAUUUGCUGUCAAGCCAAUGACCUGAGUUCAGUCCGUGGGGUGCACUUGGUGAAAGAAGAGGGUUGAAUCCCACAAGUUGUCAUCUGACUCAUGCAUACAUGCUGUAGAAUGUUUAUGCUCCUCAUCUCAUCAAUGAAAAUGGAAACAAUCAAGGAAAUGAAAUAUAAAACCUGCUGGGUGGUGGUGGCGCACGCCUAUAAUCCCAGCACUUGGGAGGCAGCCAGAGGCAGGUGGAUUUCUGAGUUCGAGGCCAGCCUGGUCUACAAAGUGAGUUCCAGGACUAUACAGAGAAACCCAGUCUU